rnacentral:rRNA from 1 species
CCUACGGGUGGCAGCAGUGAGGAAUAUUGGUCAAUGGGCGCGAGCCUGAACCAGCCAAGUAGCGUGAAGGAUGACUGCCCUACGGGUUGUAAACUUCUUUUAUAAAGGAAUAAAGUGAGGCACGUGUGCCUUGUUGUAUGUACUGUAUGAAUAAGGAUCGGCUAACUCCGUGCCAGCAGCCGCGGUAAUACGGAGGAUCCGAGCGUUAUCCGGAUUUAUGGGGUUUAAAGGGAGCGUAGAGGGGUUGUUAAGUCAGUUGUGAAAGUUUGCGGCUCAACCGGAAAAGUGCCAUUGAUACUGGCAGUCUUGAGUACAGUUGAGGUAGGCGGCAUUCGUGGUGUAGCG